rfam:Paenibacillus sabinae T27, complete genome.
GAGGCGGUAUCGGUUAGACGAACUGCACUCCCCGAAAUGAUGAGACGGAAUGCCUCUUUCUUAUGAGGAAGGCGCAGGAAGUUUCUUCUUGUAACUGUAGUGACGGUUACGUUGGAUUCUGCUCUGAGCCGCAAGGACCGAGACAGAAGG